ACCGGUGCCAGAAGUGCAUAAUUCGCUAAAAAGUAUUUCAAACUAUUUAACAUAUUGGUACUAUGUUUAUACUCUCUACCGCAGCUACUGUAUGAUGUCAUAGCAAUGACGUCACACUCAAGCCAAUCAGCCUUGAGGAGGAUAGACUCGUCGGACUGUAGCGGUUGUAAACAACUUGUCGCCCCGUGUGUCUGCCCGUGGCGCUAGUUAUCUGUCGAAGUUACCACUGACAAUGCCCAAAUCAAGAACAACAAAGGCCCAAAGGUGGCUGUUUGGUAGUGCGCAAAGCUGCUGGUGGUGGUGGACGUCUCUGCCCUGACGCGCGGCGUGCGUCUGCUCAGUGUGGAGGUGCCGCUGACAGCGGUGCCGGCCGGACCGGCUGCCUCUCCGGCGGCCGACAUUGAGCGCGGCACGUGUCCGCCGCCGUUCGGGCCGCUGCAGCUGCUGCAGUCGGCGGCGCAGCUGUCCGUCUCCGUGUCGCUGGCCGUGCCGCUGGACCUGCUGCCGCGGCCGGCGCCGGCGCGCUGCGCCUACGGCCGCCUGCUGGCCGUCGUCUCGCAGCGCGGCCUGCAGCGCAGCGGCGUGCUGCAGCUCAUCCAGCAGCUCAACGAGCCGCCCAGCCCGGCGGCGGCCGAGGGCGCCGCGCCGCGCCGGCCCGGCGACGUCAGCACACCUGGCAUCAGCGGCUUCUGCCUGGCCGACCGUCAGCUGCACCUGCUGUUCGCCGAGGGGCGCGCCGACGCCGAGCUGGAACAGACGGCGGCCGCGCCGCGCGCUCUGCCGCGCCGCGACGCUCGACUCUGCCACCAUUCGGGCCUACUGUUUAGGGAGCGCCUGUACCCGCGCCAGCCGGCCGCGUUCCGCGUGCUCGAGGACCGCCCGCUACGCGCCCAGCUGCUCGACACCCGCCUCUACACGUUACAGAAACAGGAGCCGGCGCGCGCCGUCCGCGCCAUCAGAGAGUGCUUCCGCACGCAGUGGCUGUCGGAAAAUGAACCUGCUUCCCAACGAGGCCGGCCUGCAACAACUGCUGGCCGGCUGUUGGCCGAAAAAAAAAGCCUUCAACCGGAUGUCAGUUGUCAAAUCAACGCGUAUUAAUGCAUUCACUAGGAUGGGCUUACGUAAAGCUGUAGAAUUGCAAAUAUAUAAUGGCACUGUUUUUGA
rnacentral:lncRNA from 1 species